UACACGACCGUACCGCAAACCGACACUGGUGCGCGAGAUGAGUGUUCUAAGGCGCUUGAGAGAACUCAGGAGAAGGAACUCGGCAAAUUGACACCGUAACUUCGGAAGAAGGUGUGCCUUUAGUAGGUGAAGUCCCUCGCGGAUGGAGCCCAAUGAGGUUGCAAAAAAUCGGUGGCUGCGACUGUUUAUUAAAAACACAGUACUCUGCAAACACGAAAGUGGACGUAUAGGGUGUGACGCCUGCCCGGUGCUGGAAGAUUAAAUGAUGGGGUGCAAGCUCUUGAUUGAAGUCCCAGUAAACGGCGGCCGUAACUAUAACGGUCCUAAGGUAGCGAAAUUCCUUGUCGGGUAAGUUCCGACCUGCACGAAUGGCGUAACGAUGGCCACACUGUCUCCUCCUGAGACUCAGCGAAGUUGAAAUGUUUGUGAUGAUGCAAUCUCCCCGCGGAAAGACGGAAAGACCCCAUGAACCUUUACUGUAGCUUUGUAUUGGACUUUGAACAGAUCUGUGUAGGAUAGGUGGGAGGCUUUGAAGCAGGGUCGCUAGAUCUUGUGGAGCCAACGUUGAAAUACCACCCUGGUGUGUUUGAGGUUCUAACCUAGGCCCGUAAUCCGGGUUGGGGACAGUGCAUGGUAGGCAGUUUGACUGGGGCGGUCUCCUCCCAAAGUGUAACGGAGGGGUUCGAAGGUACGCUAGUUACGGCCGGACAUCGUGACGAUAGUGCAAUGGCAUAAGCGUGCUUAACUGCGAGACUGACAAGUCGAGCAGAUGCGAAAGCAGGACAUAGUGAUCCGGUGGUUCUGUAUGGAAGGGCCAUCGCUCAACGGAUAAAAGGUACUCUGGGGAUAACAGGCUGAUACCGCCCAAGAGUUCAUAUCGACGGCGGUGUUUGGCACCUCGAUGUCGGCUCAUCUCAUCCUGGGGCUGUAGCCGGUCCCAAGGGUAUGGCUGUUCGCCAUUUAAAGAGGUACGAGAGCUGGGUUUAAAACGUCGUGAGACAGUUUGGUCCCUAUCUUCCGUGGGCGCUGCAGAUUUGAGGAAGCCUGCUCCUAGUACGAGAGGACCGGAGUGGACGCACCUCUGGUGUAUCGGUUGUCACGCCAGUGGCAUUGCCGAGUAGCUAUGUGCGGAAGAGAUAACCGCUGAAAGCAUCUAAGCGGGAAACUCGUUUCAAGAUGAGAUCUGCCGGGGCCUUGAGCCCCCUGAAGAGUCGUUCAAGACCAGGACGUUGAUAGGUCGGGUGUGGAAGCGCAGUAAUGCGUUAAGCUAACCGAUACUAAUUGCUCGUGCGGCUUGACC
rnacentral:rRNA from 1 species